rnacentral:rRNA from 1 species
UACGUAGGGGGCAAGCGUUGUCCGGAAUCAUUGGGCGUAAAGCGCGUGUAGGCGGCCUUGUAAGUCCGUUCUGAAAGUCCGGGGCUCAACCCCGGGAGGCGGAUGGAUACUGCAAGGCUCGAGUCCGGAAGAGGCAAGUGGAAUUCCCGGUGUAGCGGUGAAAUGCGCAGAUAUCGGGAGGAACACCAAUGGCGAAGGCAGCUUGCUGGGACGGUACUGACGCUGAGACGCGAAAGCGUGGGGAGCGAACAGG